GCUAGAAGCCGGGAGGACAAAUCAGACGAAACAGUGUUGACAUGAGGCAGAUCAGAUGGCCGGCCUUCCUGGUGACCAGAUUUCAGGACAGCAAGCAUCCCGGCCAGACCCCAGGUACUCUAAUGGGGUCCAUAGGGCCCUGGGAGUGAGCAGCUCUGCCUGAACUGCAGGAUGGGGCAUCCUAGAGGGAGGAGAGGGCAUCUGGACAGAGGGGCCUAAAGUGUCUGGGUGGCAUCUAGACUGGGCAGACAGUGCCUGGAUCGAGUACUGGGGUGGGGCUGGAAACGGCCCAAGAGGUGCCAGAAGGAGGUGGAGCUGUUCUGAGCCCCGUGCUGCCAAGAGGGAUGUCCUGGCCUUGGAGGGACCUUUGAGGUCAUCUAAUCCAGCCUCUUGGUGUGUGACCACUAGGACCUCCC
rnacentral:lncRNA from 1 species